GUGGGGAAUAUUGGUCAAUGGGCGCAAGCCUGAACCAGCCAUGCCGCGUGCAGGAAGACGGUCCUAUGGAUUGUAAACUGCUUUUAUUUGGGAAUAAACUCCGGUACGUGUACCGGCCUGAAGGUACCAAAUGAAUAAGCACCGGCUAACUCCGUGCCAGCAGCCGCGGUAAUACGGAGGGUGCAAGCGUUAUCCGGAAUCAUUGGGUUUAAAGGGUCCGCAGGCGGUCUUAUAAGUCAGUGGUGAAAGCCUACAGCUCAACUGUAGAACUGCCAUUGAUACUGUAGGACUUGAAUUCGAUCGAAGUGGGCGGAAUGUGACAUGUAGCGGUGAAAUGCUUAGAUAUGUCACAGAACACCGAUAGCGAAGGCAGCUCACUAGGUCUGGAUUGACGCUCAGGGACGAAAGCGUGGGGAGCAAACAGGAUUAGAUACCCUUGUAGUCC
rnacentral:rRNA from 1 species